GUGGUUUAAAUGGCAAUUUCAAUCACUUGAAUUACUGCAAUACCUUCCUGCGUCCGUAUCUCUGCCUAUGGCCUAUAGCCUACCUAUGUUGGAGCACCUGGUACUCUGCCAAUGCUACCGCGACAACAGCUUUCCGGGUGGCGUCCAUGUUUUCCUCCAACGACCGAGCUAAAUAAUAAAACGCUUGAAGUGUGGGCGUGGCGUCAGAUCCGAGAUCCGAGUCGGUUUGCGAGCUGCGUUUGAGUAUUCUCUGCGAACCGACUCGGACGCAGUAAGGUAUUGCAGUAAUACGACGAGUGAUUGAAAUUGCCAUUUAAACCACCAAAGCAGUCCAAGCACAAUGAAAACAGUUCAUGCUUCAAGUCACACUGGGCGCAGCCAUCUUGAAUUCUGUCUCGGAAUUUUGCUCGGUCACCACUGAGUUCAACCGAGAUGGCGAGUUCACCGUCCGAGGAAAAGGGGCGUGUUUGUGCGUGUCACUAGGCAACGUCCUCGGACCUCCGAGACAAAUGGAUAAUAAAACGCAAACGCGCGAUUAUUAGUACGGGGGUUAGAGGUAAUGGUUGUUCCGAUGGACAAUGUCAUCGUCCGUCGUGAUGGCUGACUGACAUCACGAUGGAGUGCCACCAUCGUCUCAUUGACAUGAGAUAUUGUAAACAUUUACAAUCCUGCUCUGGGAUAUUUAAUUUAUCAUAAUUUCUGUUUACUUGUGCGUGGCGCACACGCAUGUGGUCAUGACUGGUAACCGUUUUUGCCUCUCUGCUUGCUCCUCAGAUGCGGCGAAUUUCAAAAGUGUCGGGCGUGGUUUGUUGGCCUUGCUUUUCAGUGCGUCAACAGAUCUCUGACUCUUUCAAAUGACUUUAAAUCUUAAUAAACAACAUGAAAUUCUUGGGUUUUGUUCUGUAAAUGUAUAUAUGCAUAUUAUUAUUUCAUUUUUCAUUUUUUUUUUAUGAGAGGUACCGGAUCUGCCCAAAUAAGUACCGGAACACAGCGAGGCCAAAAUUAAGAGGUGCCGGAUCUUGUUCCGGCAGGAUCUGGCUCAAAUUAACCACUGGUCCAGAGAGUCUGGUAGGACCAGGCUACAGAUCUCCUGCCUCCGCUUAUUUUGACAGUUGAGUUGUAUACUCAUUACCGCGGGAUGAAAAAAAGUUUAUUAAUUGUUUAUGGUUGGCUAAAUAGUUUACAAUCACCAACUGAAUGUGAAACGUUAUAAUUAACCAUUUGAAAUUGCUCGUUCCUUGGUCCGCCGCUCUGUCUGUCUGUCUGUCUGUCUGUAUGACCAUAUGGGCUCAAACAAGCAGAACGUCUCUGUACCCCUCCCUCCACUUUCCCCGUUCUGUUGUCAGCUAACAAGAGACAGCGAGGCGGUUGCCGCUAACAACAGCCAAUAUGCUUGUAGAGAACGAGCCGGAGGCGGCGAAAGAAGCAGCCGGUGAGGGGAAGUCGAAAACUAGUGUGGGGGAAACCGAAGAGCCUCAAAGGAAGAAGUUUACAAGAGAAACAGACAUAAACCCUUUUGGUCCGACGCGCUAUGAUGGGAUGGGAUCGAAUAGCCCGGAGGUUGUGCUGUUGGAUUCUGUGUGUCGUCAAGAUGGAUUUACCUGAGACCGUUUUUUUCCCAUGAGCAGAAUUUGAUCGUUUUUUAAACAGCCUUAAUCAAUAUGUCUGCCGCUUGCUAAUCCAAAGGUGUGAUUGGACCAGAUGCCCACCUCUCCCAGCCAUGUGUCACCCUUUUGUGCACGAUUGCAUGAAUUAUUAUCAUUAUUUUGUACUGACUCCUUUGUAUGCAGCCAAUAGCUCACAACAUACAAAAGGACUGUUUGGAAAACAUUGCAUCUUUGUUCAUGCUGUGACGCAUUGACACAGUGAUUUGUUUUCAUUUU